rnacentral:rRNA from 1 species
AUUGAACGCUGGCGGCAUGCCUUACACAUGCAAGUCGAACGGCAGCACGGGAGCAAUCCUGGUGGCGAGUGGCGAACGGGUGAGUAAUACAUCGGAACGUGCCCAAUCGUGGGGGAUAACGCAGCGAAAGCUGUGCUAAUACCGCAUACGAUCUACGGAUGAAAGCAGGGGAUCGCAAGACCUUGCGCGAAUGGAGCGGCCGAUGGCAGAUUAGGUAGUUGGUGAGGUAAAGGCUCACCAAGCCGUCGAUCUGUAGCUGGUCUGAGAGGACGACCAGCCACACUGGGACUGAGACACGGCCCAGACUCCUACGGGAGGCAGCAGUGGGGAAUUUUGGACAAUGGGCGAAAGCCUGAUCCAGCCAUGCCGCGUGCAGGAUGAAGGCCUUCGGGUUGUAAACUGCUUUUGUACGGAACGAAACGGCCUUUUCUAAUAAAGAGGGCUAAUGACGGUACCGUAAGAAUAAGCACCGGCUAACUACGUGCCAGCAGCCGCGGUAAUACGUAGGGUGCAAGCGUUAAUCGGAAUUACUGGGCGUAAAGCGUGCGCAGGCGGUUAUGUAAGACAGUUGUGAAAUCCCCGGGCUCAACCUGGGAACUGCAUCUGUGACUGCAUAGCUAGAGUACGGUAGAGGGGGGUGGAAUUCCGCGUGUAGCAGUGAAAUGCGUAGAUAUGCGGAGGAACACCGAUGGCGAAGGCAAUCCCCUGGACCUGUACUGACGCUCAUGCACGAAAGCGUGGGGAGCAAACAGG